CUGCAAUAGCAUAUGAUCUAGCUGCAACAGAAAACUAAAAUAUGCCAAGUCCUCCUCCAGUCAUCACCUUGGUUUGGUUUUACGUCCAUUAUUUCAGUUCUUGGAGAAAUUGGCAUAUAUAUCUUUUGUUUAGCAUUUUACUAAAUUUGAAUUGAUGCUUAUUUUGCAGUCAGUAAUAUGGAAGAAAGAACUUCAAGACACGAUGAAAAAGAAAAGAGAAAGAUACUUGUUUUCUAUAUGAAUUUAUGUUCAGCUUGUAUGCAAGGAUAUCCAUGGGGUAACUUGGGUUGAUGACAACAAGGCAACAAAUGUAGAAGCUACAUACACAGGACUAAUGGGUCUAAAGAGGCAAAAGUCUGUGAUCCUACUUGGCGGCCUUGCAAAGAUUUGUGUUCUUUG